CAGGCUCACUACAAGACUCUCUCCUGGAUCUUGAUGUGCUAUUCGCUAUCUUUGGCAAGUUGGAUGGACAGCAUGGUUAGGCCCUGCUCAUGUCCCCACCAGUUGUAAUUUGAAGGGAUGGCAGGCUGAUGAACUCAUGAAUCAUUCCAUUGCAGGUCGUUGGCCUCAAGCUGGGGUUUGUUUGAGCCGAUGGCAGCAUCAGUGACACCCAGAAGUUUGGCAGGAGGCAACAAUGGAUGUCUUGCGGCUCAUUUCUCAGCUGGCUGGCUAGAGACUAUAGUGCUUCAUGCACAAUGAGGGCUGUAUGCAGGCUGUGGAGAGCAGGAGUGGCCGGCCUGCCCCUUGUUCAUACAGAUUCUCCCUGAUGGAGCCUAGCCUGACAGUGACCUCGCAUCAUGCUAGCCAGCAGCUCUACUUGGCUCUGCAAGGAGAACGACGCCAGGUGGUUCUCACAAUGCGUCCAAGAGGAACUGAAUAUUACAUUGGAUGCCAGCCUCAGGGCUAUAUGCAGGCUGUGGAGAGCAGGAGAGCCCAGCC
rnacentral:lncRNA from 1 species